ACGCUGGCGGCAGGCCUAACACAUGCAAGUCGAGCGGUAGAGAGAAGCUUGCUUCUCUUGAGAGCGGCGGACGGGUGAGUAAUGCCUAGGAAUCUGCCUGGUAGUGGGGGAUAACGUCCGGAAACGGACGCUAAUACCGCAUACGUCCUACGGGAGAAAGCAGGGGACCUUCGGGCCUUGCGCUAUCAGAUGAGCCUAGGUCGGAUUAGCUAGUUGGUGGGGUAAUGGCUCACCAAGGCGACGAUCCGUAACUGGUCUGAGAGGAUGAUCAGUCACACUGGAACUGAGACACGGUCCAGACUCCUACGGGAGGCAGCAGUGGGGAAUAUUGGACAAUGGGCGAAAGCCUGAUCCAGCCAUGCCGCGUGUGUGAGGAAGGUCUUCGGAUUGUAAAGCACUUUAAGUUGGGAGGAAGGGCAGUAAAUUAAUACUUUGCUGUUUUGACGUUACCGACAGAAUAAGCACCGGCUAACUCUGUGCCAGCAGCCGCGGUAAUACAGAGGGUGCAAGCGUUAAUCGGAAUUACUGGGCGUAAAGCGCGCGUAGGUGGUUCGUUAAGUUGGAUGUGAAAUCCCCGGGCUCAACCUGGGAACUGCAUUCAAAACUGACGAGCUAGAGUAUGGUAGAGGGUGGUGGAAUUUCCUGUGUAGCGGUGAAAUGCGUAGAUAUAGGAAGGAACACCAGUGGCGAAGGCGACCACCUGGACUGAUACUGACACUGAGGUGCGAAAGCGUGGGGAGCAAAC
rnacentral:rRNA from 1 species